AUUGAACGCUGGCGGCAGGCCUAACACAUGCAAGUCGAGCGGAUGAAGGGAGCUUGCUCCUGGAUUCAGCGGCGGACGGGUGAGUAAUGCCUAGGAAUCUGCCUGGUAGUGGGGGAUAACGUCCGGAAACGGGCGCUAAUACCGCAUACGUCCUGAGGGAGAAAGUGGUGGAUCUUCGGACCUCACGCUAUCAGAUGAGCCUAGGUCGGAUUAGCUAGUUGGUGGGGUAAAGGCCUACCAAGGCGACGAUCCGUAACUGGUCUGAGAGGAUGAUCAGUCACACUGGAACUGAGACACGGUCCAGACUCCUACGGGAGGCAGCAGUGGGGAAUAUUGGACGAUGGGCGAAAGCCUGAUCCAGCCAUGCCGCGUGUGUGAAGAAGGUCUUCGGAUUGUAAAGCACUUUAAGUUGGGAGGAAGGGCAGCAAGUUAAUACCUGGCUGUUUUGACGUUACCAACAGAAUAAGCACCGGCUAACUUCGUG
rnacentral:rRNA from 1 species